UGACCUCUAGAAGCUGGAAGCGAUCGGGAAACAGAUUCUCUCCUAGAACCUACUGGAAGAAACACAGCUCUACUGAUGUCUUGAUUUUAGCCCCAUGAAUCUGUCAUCGGACUUCUGACUUCGAGAACCCUAGGGUCCCUGAGGCUCUGUUCCAUCUUUAUCUCCAAGUUCAGAUGGGAUAAUUUCCAUCAAUCCACCUUCAAGUUCAUGGACUCUUUUCUGUCGUCUUCAUUCUGCCACUAAGUUCACACAUGCCUUAUAGCCAAUUAGUUACGCAACAGAAAUG